CUUCGGCGUCUUUGGACGCGAGAAUGUAAACGUGUACGCGAGUGCGCUGAACACAUCGUACAAAGUACUUCAUGUUAUUCACAAGAAAAGUCUUGAAAGAAAUGCGGAUAUAAUUAGUCAGCUUUCAUCUUUUCUUAUUUCAUUUUCGAUACUAAUUUGUAAUUUGUCAAUAUUGUUACAGGUAACCAAUCAGAACUAUAAACAAAACACACAGCGAGAGACCUCUCCUGUCCCUGCGCUGUCACAAGGGUUAUCUCAACAACGCACAGUAGGCAGCGCAGAGUUUAUGCGAUAGUGAAGAAGAAAACACGGGGUACGCGAUACAAGGUUAAUGAUCAAAUGAGUCUUUUCUCUACAAACAAUUCGUAACUGUCCGUUAUUCGUGAACGUUUCGAUUUUGUAAUUGUGUUUAAGUGGGAUUUAUGAUUUUGAGAAAUUAUUAAUCAAAUUGCAAUGUUUUGAAUAAAACAGUUAUUAGAUGAAUUUCAUGUGUCUAAUAACAUCCGAUUACUAUUUUUGACUGGUAUUUUGAAAAACCAUUUUGUAAGAACAUCAUAUUAGAAUGUCUUUCACCUACCACAUUUUUGGUGUCCAUAAAUUUUGAAUUGGAUUCAGAUCAGGACUAUUUUUUGGACAUUCCGUAUAUAGUUGAUAUGUCUUAUUGUUAAUACUAUUCUGUCAGAAGCUGUACAUUUCUGGAAACGAGCAUUAUGGUCCGUGAAACGAAGAACAUUGUUAGAUUGAGCAGGUAGUAUAUAACAUUAACUUUUUCUAAAGUUUGAUUGCCUACACAUAUAAUCACAUUUAUAUUCUCCUUACAUGCAAACGAUGUGACAAAAUACAAAUUAUAAUUGUAGAAGCGUAACAGAAUCUUAACCCGUUAGUUACCAGGCUCUCGAGGAAUAUCGACCACCACAGAGCAGAUAUUUUAUUGUUAUAACAUGACAUCAAUUGUCAUUUAUUUUGAGGUAACGAAAUCAAUUGUUGCUGAAGAAUCAGAAACUGUAGUUAUCCGCAGACAAAUAUCAUAUUUAGUAGGGUCCGUUGCAGGAAAAAGGGCAUGCGGGAGCACGCAGGGGCAAGAAGGGUCGCUGUGUGUUUCACGUAAUGCAACAGAAUUAGUACACUCGUCCUCUAUUUACGCAAGCUUCUUAUUUACGCGGUAAAUUAUAAUACUAUAAUUAUUGUGGUAUUAAUGGUAUUUAAAUAUGUUUUAUUUUUAAAGAAACAUAGGAAUAGAUAAUUGAAUAGAAUACAAAUAAAUAGAAACGAUAUAGC